CCAGACUCCUACGGGAGGCAGCAGUGGGGAAUAUUGCACAAUGGGGGAAACCCUGAUGCAGCGACGCCGCGUGAGCGAUGAAGUAUUUCGGUAUGUAAAGCCCUAUCAGCAGGGAAGAACAAUGACGGUACCUGACUAAGAAGCACCGGCUAAAUACGUGCCAGCAGCCGCGGUAAUACGUAUGGUGCAAGCGUUAUCCGGAUUUACUGGGUGUAAAGGGAGCGUAGACGGCAUAGCAAGUCUGAAGUGAAAGCCCAAGGCUCAACCAUGGGACUGCUUUGGAAACUGUUAAGCUAGAGUGCUGGAGAGGUAAGCGGAAUUCCUAGUGUAGCGGUGAAAUGCGUAGAUAUUAGGAAGAACACCAGUGGCGAAGGCGGCUUACUGGACAGUAACUGACGUUGAGGCUCGAAAGCGUGGGGAGCAAACAGGAUUAGAUACCCUAGUAG
rnacentral:rRNA from 1 species